UGUGUUUUUCGUUUUAUUUAUUUUCUUGUGUCACAUGUGAUGUGGCGUUGAAAAAGUAUAAAGAAGAUAAAAAACAGAAAAAAAAACUAUUAUUAAAAACAGAAAAAUCAUCUAGACUUUUUGCUCGUGAGUUUGGCGAGUUUGGACUUGGGGCUGUAAUUGGUAUAGAUGCCUUGGUUCUGUCAAGCAGCCUAGCAGGCUAGAAGGCACCGGUUCACACUUUCAGGAGAACGAGCCCGGAAACAUGGAGCCUGCCCAAAAAACACUGUUCAUAGUUGCUGGGCAGGGUCGAGAUGCGAGAAGUCUUCCAGCCGUCUCAUACCGUAGUACUGCGCUUGCUG
rnacentral:lncRNA from 1 species